UUAAAGGGGUAUGCGUCUAGAAUUGAAACAAUACUUUUAAGAGUCAAACUUGCAGUAAUAAAGUCACUUAAUUCUGCGCUUCUUUUUCAUUUCAACAGGAAAGCCAUACCACAAAGAUUCAGUGUUACAGAGGAGGAAAUGAGUAAAGAAAAUCGAGAGUUACAGUUCAUCUUUGAGCUGUUGGGAAAAAAUGAAUACAGAGCCAAAAUAAAUGCAACCAUAACAAUAAAAAAAGAGGUGCAAAACACUGAUCUGAAGAUCUUGAGUGUCAAACCAACGAACUGCACAUUGUCCUUUUUGGAGAGCACCUACACCAUUGCCUGUAUUCUGACAGACCCACAAGUGAUUACCAUUAACACAGAGACCUAUAUCCGCGAUAUUCAGGGCAACAAUGAAAAGAUCAUUGCCACAGCACAACUCACCUUCGAUGAGAAUGUCUACGAAGGAAUAGACAUCUUGAAGAAGGAGGUAGUGGUGAUACUUUCUAAGAUGACAGUGGUGAAAUCAAUCGCUCCUAUUAUAUGUGGUUCCAUUGGAGGCCUUGUCUUUCUAAUCAUUCUGAUCAUUAUUCUUAUAAAGUGUGGGUUCUUCCGUCGGCGUCAUAAACUUGAGCGUGUCGGGAGUUCACACCAAUGACUUACACGGGAUCACAGCAACUAGACGUCCUUCAUCUGUAAACCGAUGUAUUGUAUUAUUAUAAACACUGGUGGUUAAAUUAGGUAUGUUUUUAUAUUUAAGAUUUCAUUUCUUUUUUAAUACCAUAUUUCAUAUUUAUGGAGUAAAAUGUGAAAUUGCAAUUUCGAGGUUUAUUAAAAUAUCCUGGGAUAUUU
ensembl:lncRNA